rnacentral:rRNA from 1 species
CCGAAGAGUACAGCUACUGAAUCUUAAGCCGAGCUAAGCUCGUAUUGGGAUGUCGUAAGGGAAAAUAAUGAUACUACCUUACUAUAAGUGUCGUCCAAAACUGGUGCCAGAAGACUCGGUAAGGCCAGAGACGCAAACGUUAAUCUACAUCAACAGGCGUAAAGGGUAAGUAGGCUGCUUAAAAAGUAUUUUCUAUUUAAAUAGCCAAAUAUUUUAAUUUAAUUUUAUUUCUCUGCCCCUUUAGCGGCCCCCUGGCCUUAAAAACGCUCAGCUGGCGCAGCGCUACUUAAGGUCGCUACGUUUUUAAGGCGCAGUCGGGGGCUAGGGCUAAAUAUAUCUGCUACUGUUUAGUCAAAUUUAGCUAAAGCAAAAAAAAAAAAAAAACGAAAGCCAUACUCUGCGCAAGCCUUGUAUCCAAGGGGUUGCAAAGGGAGAAAUUAUAUCUUUCACAAAAAGCGUCCCGGGGUUUUUAGCUAAUCUAUUUUACCCUAAGCCUUAUUUUAAGUUAUUUUAAAUUAAAGACAAAUAGGGUUUUUUUACUUUUUGAUAUCCUCCUCGCCUUUGUAUUCUCAAGCCAGGGACAACAAUCCCCUCCCUUAAAAAAAAUGUUUAAACAACAAGCCCAGCCCUUUAGAGGGCGCUCUAAAUAGGGCUCACCAAAGGUUCAAAUGCCUUUGGCUAGAGGAGAUAAUCCAAAGGCGAUAGGCUUAAAAAACACACAAAAAUUUUUUUGUUUUUGUUUAAACAUUUUGUUUAUUUAUUUAAUUUUAAGGCGUGCAGACCAAGGGUACGGGACCGGGACCAGAGGGCAAAGAUUUUUUACCUUAAAUAAAAUAAAAAACUCAAAUCCAAAAAAUCAGUCUUUAAGCUAACCAUAUAUAACUAGUCCCAACUUUUUAAGGGCAUCAAGAGAAAAUUAUCAUUUUAUUCUAAAAAUAUUUGUAAAUAAAAUAUGAAUUUAAGCUAGAAUCAAGAAGGGGUUGACCCAAAUAAUAUUUAGAGGAGGUUUAAUAUCUUUAGAUCCUAAAUGGAAUACUCAAGGCGAAAGCUUUUCAACCAAGUAAUGAUUGACGCUAAGGAACGAAGGGGAGGGCAAGAAACAGGAUCAGAUACCCUAUUACUCCUCUCAGUCAACGAUGAAUGGUAUACAUUAGUUUAUAUAAACUAUAUGAUAAAAGCUAACGCGAGUAACCAUUCCGCCUUGUAACUACGACUGCAAUGUUAAAAACAAAAAAAUUAGUCGUCUCGAAGCAACCGAAGUUC